UACGAAGGGGCGAGCGUUUGUUCGGAAUCACUGGGCGUAAAGGGUGCGUAGGCGGGUCUUUAAGUCAGGGGUGAAAUCCUGGAGCUCAACUCCAGAACUGCCUUUGAUACUGAGGAUCUUGAGUAUGGGAGAGGUGAGUGGAACUGCGAGUGUAGAGGUGAAAUUCGUAGAUAUUCGCAAGAACACCAGUGGCGAAGGCGCUCACUGGCCCAUUACUGACGCUGAGGCACGAAAGCGUGGGGAGCAAACAGG
rnacentral:rRNA from 1 species